GACGAACGCUGGCGGCGUGCUUAACACAUGCAAGUCGAACGGAGUGGCGCACGGGUGAGUGACACGUGUGUGUCCCUCCCUGUACUUCGGGAUAAGCCCGGGCGACUGGGUCUACUACCGGCUAGGGUGGGAUGGGCCGGCGGCCAAUGGGCUUGUGGGUGGGGUAAUGGCCUUCCGAGGCGGCGACGGGUACCCGGCCUGAGAGGGUGGACGGCCGCAAUGGGACUGAGAGAGGGCCCAGAGGGCAACGGGGGGCAGCAGUGGAGAAUAUUGCGCAGUAAGCGGAAGCGUGAUGCAGCGACGCCGGGUGGGUGAUGACGGCCUUCGGGUUGUGAACUCCUGUCACCAUCGACGCGGUAGAUGGAGAAGAAGCACCGGCUAACUACGUGCCAGCAGCCGCGGUAAUAC
rnacentral:rRNA from 1 species